rnacentral:rRNA from 1 species
GACGAACGCUGGCGGCGUGCUUAACACAUGCAAGUCGAACGGAAAGGCCCUGCUUUUGUGGGGUGCUCGAGUGGCGAACGGGUGAGUAACACGUGAGUAACCUGCCCUUGACUUUGGGAUAACUUCAGGAAACUGGGGCUAAUACCGGAUAGGAGCUCCUGCUGCAUGGUGGGGGUUGGAAAGUUUCGGCGGGUGGGGAUGGACUCGCGGCUUAUCAGCUUGUUGGUGGGGUAGUGGCUUACCGAGGCUUUGACGGGUAGCCGGCCUGAGAGGGUGAACGGCCACAUUGGGACUGAGGUACGGCCCAGACUCCUACGGGAGGCAGCAGUGGGGAAUAUUGCACAAUGGGCGGAAGCCUGAUGCAGCAACGCCGCGUGCGGGAUGACGGCCUUCGGGUUGUAAACCGCUUUCGCCUGUGACGAAGCGUGAGUGACGGUAAUGGGUAAAGAAGCACCGGCUAACUACGUG